rnacentral:tRNA from 1 species
CGGAAACAUGGUGUAAUCGGCAGCAUUGCGGUCUCCAAAACCGCCGGUCCCGGUUCGAAUCCGGGUGUUUCAG